GGGCAAUAGAGCUUGAGCGUCUUUUCCAUGCUACCAUUUGUGUUUUUCUUUUUUCAGUCUUUUUGUUGGCUAUGACCUAUUGCCAUUCACGUUGGUUAAAUGUCGCUUUCAUGUUUCUUAAGCUUCAUUUUCGUUGUGUUGGUUAUAGUUCAUUUACCUUUAUAGUAUUUGGUUUGAAAAAUGAUUUCAUUUUAGUUUUUUCAAAAAUCCCAACUAUGAAGAAUCUCUCUCCUUUUCGUUAGAAUUUUAAAUUUGUAGCCUAUUGACUUAUGGCUUCUUGAUGAACAGGUGUUGAAUCGUUUGACAUUGAUAUGGAAAAAAGUGACGGUGAAAGGCAAUGUCCAGCCAGAGGCAGUUCUGCAGAAUGUUUCAAAGACUAGGAAGGCAACUUCUUUCUGGGAUGCACCCCCUGAAGCUGUUGCUUAAUAUACUCAUUUGCUACACUGGACAAAUAGAAUGUUUGUUGAGGAACUCGAUUUAAUAAUCACAAGAAAAACAGUGUGUGGGAGUAUUUGACAAGGGGGAGUUGUGUUUCAUUUUUGAUAAUGUAUCCACAUUUUCGCCUUGUAGAUAAGAAGUCAUUGCCAGAUUAACUUUUGAUGUUCUCAGCAAACAGAUUUUGUUAUCUAUUGUUGAAUGUGUUGUAUUUCAUUAGCUUAUGGGAGGACUUCCAGUUUCACUUUUGAUUAGCUUAUGAGAGCAAUUCCAGUUCUGAGCAAAACCGUCGUCUCCGUUGUCUUUUAUUUGCCCCUUUGUUUUUACUAAUAUUUUGGUGCUGAAGUUUUGACUGUUGCCACAAGAAUAAUUUGGUUUAUCCGAACAAGUUAAU
rnacentral:lncRNA from 1 species